GAUGAACGCUGGCGGCGUGCCUAAUACAUGCAAGUCGAGCGAACAGACGAGGAGCUUGCUCCUCUGACGUUAGCGGCGGACGGGUGAGUAACACGUGGAUAACCUACCUAUAAGACUGGGAUAACUUCGGGAAACCGGAGCUAAUACCGGAUAAUAUAUUGAACCGCAUGGUUCAAUAGUGAAAGACGGUUUUGCUGUCACUUAUAGAUGGAUCCCCGCCGCAUUAGCUAGUUGGUAAGGUAACGGCUUACCAAGGCAACGAUGCGUAGCCGACCUGAGAGGGUGAUCGGCCAAACUGGAACUGAGACACGGUCCAGACUCCUACGGGAGGCAGCAGUAGGGAAUCUUCCGCAAUGGGCGAAAGCCUGACGGAGCAACGCCGCGUGAGUGAUGAAGGUCUUCGGAUCGUAAAACUCUGUUAUUAGGGAAGAACAAAUGUGUAAGUAACUAUGCACGUCUUGACGGUACCUAAUCAGAAAGCCACGGCUAACUACGUG
rnacentral:rRNA from 1 species